UACAUGGGCCAGGCCCACCUCCCACGUAGCCUACUCCUUCCUCCAGCGGUCGCACCCCCGGUUCGCUCUUCUCUACCCACGACCCCCAUCCCAUGUCUAUCAUGUCCAACCCUAGCCGCAUCUGCCUCCCCCCACGCGAUCUGGUCCUCCUGCACCCGCGCGUGCCCACCUCCCGCCUCCACCUGCCGCCGUUGUUGUCUAUUUCCCAUCUCGAGGACACGCGGCGAGAUGCAGUCCGUCGCCCUCGACAACCAGCUGCAACAAGCCGGAGCAGAGGCCGCGGAGAGCUCGGUAAUGGGGCGUUCAACAUCCAGGGAGCCAGGCUGGAGGAGACGCCACUGAGGGAGUGGUCUUCGACCUCCAGCAUCCAGGGAGCCUGGCCGGAGCCAAGGCCGUCGGCGGCUCAGUAGCCCUCCCGAAUCUAGGGAGCGGCCUAAUCCGUAGGCGCGUUCUGGAUGGACGCGCACCACUCCGUGCCUCCACUACAUCAAGCAGAGUUCUUGCUGCUACAGAUCUUGGGUCCCCUGCCAUCCGUGCUAUGAAGAAGACCAACAUCACAAUUUUUCUUGAGCAUUGGAACAAUCUGCAUCUUGAAAAGAUAAAUGCACAAAAGGUACUAAAAGGGUGUCCUACACAACCAGUACGCGGCUGUUGUUAUGUAUAUAACAGAGGGUGGCACAAACAGGACUCCCGAAUUAUAAAGAGUUAAAAUCUUGGCGAGACUGGAAGGUCAUAGCCUCUCAAGAUUAUUUAAUGUGACAAUUUUUGUUUUCUCUAUUUUUAGGGAGCUUCUCUUCUCAUUGUGACAUGAAAUGUAAAGAAUAAUAAUAAUUGCCGAAGUGUCUAUUUCAAAUAAAUAUUCGCAACUGCUAUAUUGAUCAAUUGUGAUUUUUAUUAAAUUUAUAUACUAUACAUAUUUUCUUAAAUAUUUUUGUAGUUUCCAGAAGAUGUCUGGGCACGACGCCUUAUAUGAACUUCUCUUCAAAAUUUCUUUGAGAGGCUUCUUAACGAGUGGAUGAGCUGGAUGAUAUGGAGAAGCGGAAGGCAAACGGGGAGUCAAUGUUUGCAAUGCUCAAGUAGUGUCACGGUAUUUCAGUCCUAUGUUCGAGUUUUGCAGAAAAAGAUUUUGAUUUAGUGACCAUGCACCUAAAGAGAAUGUCGAUUGAGAUUUGGGAACAACCCAAGUACCUGGCUGUUUCUACCCAGCGGCGGCAGUGGCUAAUUGAAGUGGGAAAUGGAUGACAGCGGGUGGAAGACACCGUCGUGCCAGGACGGGCGCGUUAUGCAGGUCCUCGUCGUUAGCAUCACAUGGCCGUGCGGACGCGCUGCCGCGAUGAGUCCACAACGAUGGCAACAGGGACGCAGCGCAGGAGCAACAGAGAAGUAAAGGGCAGCGACGGGGCGCUGCAGGGAGACGCCGUCCCAUGGUGUGGUGAGUCGUCAGCGCAAAGAAGGGAAUCAUAAUGCAGCUGCCGCGGUAGCAGAGCCCUAGGCUGGCUUUAGAACUAGAGGCAGAAGUUCGAAAUAUGCAGACCAAUGGUGAAUGUACUAAUUUCGAAAUAGAUUUCUUUUAUGUUCAUGUGGCUAUCUGUAUAACUUGCUGUGAACAUGGAUUUCCCAUGGAUAUUAUAUUUAUUGGAAGAAAUAAAUUUGAUGAACCGUAGCAA